AUUGACCAUGUAAUCAACCACGGUCUCUCACUAAGAGAGGCUGGUGAAAGAGUCCAACCCAAUUUGAGUCGGUCAACGGUUGCCUCCAUUAUUCGCAUCUUUCAACAAACCAACAGAAUGCAACGUCUUCCACCCUCUGGGGGAAGAGGAAAGCUCCUCAAUAAUGAUCAAGAGCUUGCCAUUGUAGAAAUGGUUGUUGCAAAUAAUGCAAUUAAACUGCAUGAAAUCAAAACUAGAAUUGUGGAGGACCAUGAGAUAUUUGCCAAUAUAGAAAGCAUCAGCCUCACAACCAUUACGCGGACAUUGUCCAAACACAGAGUGCGGAUGAAGCAGCUCUACACUGUUCCCUUUGAAAGGAACAGUGAGAGAGUCAAGGAGCUACGACGACAAUAUGUCCAGAGAGUUAUGGAAUUGGAAGCCAACCAGGCCCCUCA